rnacentral:SRP_RNA from 2 species
GCCAGGCAUGGUGGUGGAUGCCUGUAAUCCCAGCUACUCGGGAGGCUGAGGCAGGAGAAUCGCUUGAGCCCAGGAGGCGGAGGUUGCAGUGAGCCAAGAUCACGCCGCUGCACUCUAGCCUGGGCAACAGAGCAAGAUUCUGUCUCAA